GCCGUCACGUUAAUAUUAUAGAUCCAUUCUCGGAAAAUGAAUGUUCACCCAGAUGUCAACUUUGAAGAACUAGCUCGGUCCACAGAUGAUUUCAACGGAGCACAACUUAAAGCUGUCUGUGUUGAGGCUGGCAUGUUGGCCCUUCGCCGUGAUGCAACUGAGGUGAACCAUGAGGACUUUAAUGAAGGCAUCAUCCAAGUCCAAGCAAAAAAGAAAUCAAGCUUGAAUUAUUAUGCAUAGGCACUCAUCUCAAUGAAAAAUGAGCAUUGAUGUUUGACUUUUGUUUGCUAUUAUGAUCUCACUUGAAUCAUAUAUAACGUAGAACUUGCUAUCAUCUUUUAAAACAGUAAUUUGGUCUCAAAUUCUUAGAAGUAGCUUUACAUGUUUUA